CAGAGUGCGCGGGAGCAGAGUGCUGGGCUUUGGCUCAGCGGGCUUCAGCGCAAGGGGCCUUCGGUGAGAGGAAAUCAGUGAGCCUGAGUACGUGCUUGCUGAGGUAAAAAGAUUUGCAAUAUUGUCUAUGCAGUGAGGAAGAGCGGCAGAAAAUCCCAGUCACCGGAAUGUGAUUCAAGCCCUGCACAGAGCUUCUCCCUUCUCCGUUUCCUGGGAGUGUUGAAGAGACAGAUGGGGAACCUGCUGAGAGCUGCCUGCGGCCAACCCGCCAACUCCAAUCUGCGCCGGAGUUUCCGCCACCCGCUGAAGAGGGCCGUGCCCCAGAGCAAGCUGAGGCUGAAACACCUGAGGCGCAGCGGGCGUUGCUGGAAAUCGCAUGUCAGUAGUGAGAUCCUGUGCUACCUUCCGCGCAAGUUCCUGGAGUGUCCGCACUUGUCAGAGGGCUUGCCGGACUUGGACAUCUGCAAGCUACAUGAGCCUCAGUUCGGGAAGAAAGCAAGCAAUGGGGAAAAGGUUACCCAGUUCAAACACCUCUGAAAUCAAACGAUUACUCCUCACAGAUCCACCAUCCUCAACUUGAGAGCCAAUGUCACCUGCAGUGGAACCUUCAACACGAUAAAACCCAUC